GGUGGCUCAAUGGUAGAGCACUUGCCUUGCAUGCAUGAGGACCUGGGUUUGAUUCCUUGGCACCA
rnacentral:tRNA from 1 species